UACGUAGGGUGCGAGCGUUAAUCGGAAUUACUGGGCGUAAAGUGUGCGCAGGCGGCCGCGCAAGUCGAGUGUGAAAGCCCCGGGCUUAACUUGGGAAUUGCGCUCGAAACUACGUGGCUGGAGUGUGGCAGAGGAAGGUGGAAUUCCAGGUGUAGCGGUGAAAUGCGUAGAUAUCGGGAGGAACACCUGUGGCGAAAGCGGCUCACUGGACCACAACUGACGCUGAGGCGCGAAAGCUAGGGGAGCAAACAGG
rnacentral:rRNA from 1 species